AGUGAACGCUGGCGGCGUGCCUAAUACAUGCAAGUCGAACGAACGAAUAAGAGCUUGCUCUUAUAAGUUAGUGGCGCACGGGUGAGUAAUAUAUAGCUAAUCUGCCUCUUAGUAGAGGAUAACAGUCGGAAACGAUUGCUAAUACUCUAUACUUCUGCUUUACAUAAGUAAAGUAGAGAAAGUUUUUCGCUAAGAGAUGAGGCUAUACUGUAUCAGCUAGUUGGUAAGGUAACGGCUUACCAAGGCUAUGACGCAUAACUGGUCUGAGAGGAUGAUCAGUCACAUUGGAACUGAGACACGGUCCAAACUCCUACGGGAGGCAGCAGUAGGGAAUAUUGCGCAAUGGGGGAAACCCUGACGCAGCAACGCCGCGUGGAGGAUGACACUUUUCGGAGCGGAAACUCCUUUUAUCGGGAAAGAAUAAUGACGGUACCCGAUGAAUAAGCACCGGCUAACUCCGUG
rnacentral:rRNA from 1 species